rnacentral:lncRNA from 1 species
GGACAAGCGUUUAGAAAGUUUCUUCCACUCUUUGACCAAGUAUUGGUUGAAAGGAGUACUGCUGAAACUGUAACCAAAGGAGGCAUUAUGCUUCAAGGAAAAGUAUUGCAAGCAACAGUAGUCGCUGUUGGAUCGUGUUCUAAAGGAAAGGGUGGAGAGAUUCAACCAGUUAGAGUGAAAGUUGAAGAUAAAGUUCUUCUCCCAGAAUAUGGAGGCACCAAAGUAGUUCUAGAUGACAAGGAUUAUUUCCUGUUUAGAGAUGGUGACAUUCUUGGAAAGUACGUAGGCUGA